UGCCGCGGCGCCGACUGUGUCGGCGGCCAAGGAGAAGCCGUGCAGGAAAUUCCGGGCCAAUAUCUUCCAGAAGAGCAAGUGUCAGAACUGCUUCAAGCACCGCGAGUCUUAUCUUCUCAAGGAGGAGGACCUGACGCAGGCAAAACCCUUUUUUGGUGGUUGGCCACUUCUGGCUCCAGAUGGGACCAACUUUAACAGCUUAGUGCACUGGUUUCAGAAAUGGCAGCAACAGUUCUUCAUCCUUUAUGAGCACGGCCUCUUGCACUACACCCUGGAUGAGAUGGUACCCAGUGUCUGAGUGGGCAACACUCUGCAGGUAGGGAAUGUGGAGCAGGCCCAGUGCUUCUGUACCACGGUUCUCCUGUGUGCUGGACCCGGCCAUGGAGCACGAAGUCCAGCGAGUCCGCCAGGCGUUCCUAUCCGGCCGGUCACGACCCUUGCGGUUCCGGCUGCAGCAGCUGGAGGCCCUGCGGAGGAUGGUGCAGGAGCGCGAGAAGGACAUCCUGGCGGCCAUCGGCUCCGAUCUGUGCAAGAGCGAAUUCAAUGCAUACAGUCAGGAAGUCAUUGCUGUCCUUGGGGAAAUUGAUUUUAUGCUUGAAAAUCUUCCUGAAUGGAUUACUGCUAAACCAGUUAAGAAGAACCUGCUCACCAUGCUGGAUGAGGCCUAUCUUCAGCCACAGCCUCUAGGAGUUGUGCUGAUAAUCGGAGCUUGGAACUACCCCUUUGUUCUCACCAUUCAGCCACUGAUAGGAGCCAUUGCUGCAGGAAAUGCUGUGAUUAUCAAGCCUUCUGAACUGAGUGAAAAUACAGCCACAAUCUUGGCUAAGCUUCUGCCUCAGUAUUUAGACCAGGACCUCUAUAUUGUUAUUAAUGGUGGUGUUGAGGAAACCACAGAGCUCCUGAAGCAGCGAUUUGACCACAUUCUCUAUACGGGAAACACUACAGUCGGGAAAAUUGUCAUGGAAGCUGCUGCCAAGCAUCUGACCCCUGUGACUCUUGAACUGGGAGGGAAAAGUCCAUGUUAUAUUGACAAAGACUGUGACCUGGACAUUGUUUGCAGACGUAUAACCUGGGGAAAAUACAUGAAUUGUGGCCAAACGUGCAUUGCCCCCGACUACAUUCUCUGUGAAGCAUCCCUCCAGAAUCAAAUUGUGCAGAAGAUUAAAGAAACGGUGAAGGAAUUUUAUGGAGAAAAUGUAAAAGAGUCUCCUGAUUAUGAAAGGAUCAUCAAUCAUCGUCAUUUUAAGAGGAUACUAAGUUUGCUUGAAGGACAAAAGAUAGCUUUUGGUGGGGAGACAGAUGAGGCCACACGCUACAUAGCCCCAACAGUACUUACUGAUGUUGAUCCUAAAACCAAAGUGAUGCAAGAAGAAAUUUUUGGACCAGUUCUUCCAAUAGUGCCUGUGAAAAAUGUAGAUGAGGCCAUAAAUUUCAUAAAUGAACGUGAAAAGCCUCUGGCUCUCUACGUAUUUUCACAUAACCAUAAGCUCAUCAAACGGAUGAUUGAUGAGACAUCCAGUGGAGGUGUCACAGGCAAUGAUGUCAUCAUGCACUUCAUGCUCAACUCUUUCCCCUUUGGAGGAGUGGGUUCCAGUGGAAUGGGAGCUUAUCAUGGAAAACAUACUUUCGAUACUUUUUCUCAUCAGCGUCCCUGUUUAUUAAAAGGUUUAAAGAGAGAAGGUGCUAACAAACUCAGAUAUCCUCCCAACAGCCAGUCAAAGGUGUACUGGGGAAAAUUUUUUCUCUUGAAACGGUUCAACAAAGAAAAACUCGGUCUCCUGUUGCUCACUUUCCUGGGUAUUGUAGCAGCUGUGCUUGUCAAGGCUGAAUAUUACUGAAGAAUGAUCCUGUUCAACCUCAUAGUGCCUCUACUGAAUUAUUCCUCUUUUAAAUGGGACUUGGAUAAAUCUGGAAACCAUCAUUCUCAGCAAACUGAUGCAAGAACAGAAAACCAAACACGGCAUGUUCUCACUCAUAGGUGGGUGCUGAAAAAUGACAACAUGUGGACUCUGGGAGAGGAGCAUCACACACUGGGGGUAGUGAGGGGGUCUAGGGUAGGGACAGCGGGGUCGGGGGAAGGAUGGGGAGGGAUAACAUGGGGAGAAAUGCCAGAUAUAGAUGAAGGGAGAAUAGAGGCAGCAAACCACCUGGUUAUGUAUGUGCCUAUGCAACAGCCCUGCAUGACCUGCACAUGUACUCCAGAACCUAAAGUAAAAUUUAAAAUAAUAAUUAAUAAAUAAAAGAAAUAUGCUGUGCAUAUUGCUGGUUAUUAUAUGUCAUGGCAUGAUCUUUUUUUGACUUAAAAAAAGACUUCUUCCAAAUUAUGAUUGAUGUACCCUGGACCAGUGUUUCUCAAACAGGGAGGGGAAUUUCUGGGAUAUUUUUGUUGUGACAACUUCGGGGGUGUGGUGGGGGGAAGGUGUUACAGCAUCUAGUGGGUAGAGACCAGGGAUGCUGCUAAACAUCACACAAUGCUCAGGGACCACCCCCCCCAACAAAGAGUUAUCUGGAGCCUAUUCACAUGGGCUGGAGAUACCAAGAGUUCCCAGAAGAAAGUAAAAGCCAGGACACACUUGAAAAAAGCUGGAACUCUGAAUGUGUCUCUAGCCCACAAUGGAUCUGUCAGCAGAGAAUGGAAGCCUUGCUAGCUAUCAGAGGUGUUGAGCACAAUCUCUAACCAAUAAUUAGCUGAACACUAAGCUCUGCAGACAUUUUUAAACCUAGAAAGAUAGAACGUUUUAAACUAGAAAGUUAGAUUUAAGAACGAGGAGAAAAAAACUGAGCAAGAGGUAAGCAGCUGCAGAUUGCAGAGACGAGAGCCACAGAAUCGGUGUAAGCAAGUUAUUUAACCAACACAGUGACGUUCCUUGGGUGUAAAUCUCACAUGCAACAUUCUCCAGGAUAGACUUGCAGUAGGCCACAAAACAAAUCUCAAUAAACUAAACUUAUAAAAAAAUGUUGUUAAAGAGACAGAGUCUGGCUAUGUUGCCCUGACUGGUCUUGAACUCCUAGGCUCAAGCAAUGCUCUCAUCUCAGCCUCCUGAGUACCUGGGACUACAGGCACACACCAUCAUUCCUGGCAAAUUUUGAAAGACUGAAUUCAUACAAAGUAUGUUCUCUGGCCACAAUAGAAUUAAAUUAGAGAUGCCUACCAGAAAUAAAACCCCAAAUAUUUGGAAAUUAAAUGUACUUCUAAACCAUAAGUCAAAGAAUAAACCACAAAAGAAAUUUUAAAAUAUUUUGAACUUGAAAAUUUUGAUGAACAUCAAAAUUUAUUGGAUGCAACUAAGGCAAUGCUUAGAGGAAAAUGUACAGCUUCAAAUGCCUGUAUCAGAAAAGGAGAAAGGUCUCAAACCAGUGACCUAAUAUUCUACCAUAAGAAGCUAGUAAAGAGGCCAGGCGCAGUGGCUCACACCUGUAAUCCCAGCACUUUGGGAGGCCGAGGUGGGCAGAUCAUGAGGUCAGGAGUUCAAGACCAGCCUGGCCAACAUGGCAAAACCCAUCUCUACUAAAAAUGCAAAAAUUAGCUGGGUGUGGUGGCACAUAUCUGUAAUCCCAGCUACUUGGGAGGUUGAGGCAGAAGGAUCACUUGAACCCAGGAGGCGGAGGUUGCAGUGAGCCGAGAUCGUGCCACUGCAUUGCAGCCUGGGUGGCAGAACAAGACUCCAUCUCAAAAAAAGAAGCUAGUAAGGAAGAACAAACUAUACCUAAAUAAAGUAAAAGAUUAGUGUGGGCCAGGCAUGGUGGAUCACACCUGUAAUCCCAGCACUUUAGGAAGCCAAGAUAGGAGGAUUGCUUGAAGCUAGGAGUUUGAGACCAGCUUGGGCAAUAUAGUAAGACUCUGUCUUUACAAAAAAUAAAUAAAAAUUUAAAAAUAGAUUAGUAUGAAGUAAUUGAAAUAAACAGCAGAAGACUAAAAGAUGCAACUAUUUUUUUAAAAAACUGCUUUUCAAGACAUGGACAGUAUAAGAUAGAAACCACAAAGUUAAGAAGCAGCAGGGAAUGAAGUUAAAAGUUUUUAUUAAUUUUCUCUGUUUUUGCAAUCAGUUUAGUUGUCAUUAAUUUGAAAAUAAUGGAUCAUUGGCCAGGCACAGUGGCUCACACCUGUAAUCCCAGCACUUUGGGAGGCCGAGGCAUGUGGAUCACCUGAGAUCAGAAGUUUGAGACCAGCCUGGCCAACAUGGUGAAACCCUGUCUCUACUAAAAAUACAAAAAUGAGCCAGGUGUGGUGGUGCACACCUGUAAUCCCAGCUACUCAAGAGGCUGAGGCAGGAGAAUCGCUUGAACCCGGGAGGUGGGGGUUGCAGUGAGCCGAGAUCAUUGCACUCCAGCCUGGGCUACAAGAGCCAGACCCUGUCUCAAAUAAAUAAUAGUAAUAAUAAUAAUGAUGGUUAUAAGAUGUAAUUUGCAAGCCUCAUGGUAACCCCAAAUCAAAAAACCUACAAAAGGCAAAAUGGCAGUACUAAGUCCUAACUUAUCAAUAAUAACAUUGAAUGUAAACGAACUAAACUCUCUAGUCAAAAGACAAAGAGUGGCUCAGUUGGUUAAAAAAAAACCCAGUGAUCUGUUGCCUACAAGAAGCACACUUCACCUAAAAGACACACAUAGACUGAAAAUAAAGAGAUGGAAAAAGAUACUGCAUACAAAUUGAAACCAAAAGUGAUCAGGAGUAGCUUAUACUUAGACAAAAUAGAUUUCAAGAGAAAACCUAUAAAAAGAACCAAGGUCAUUAUAUCAUGAUAAAGGGGUCAAUUCAGCAAGAGAAUAUAACAUUUAUAAAUAUAUAUAUAUAUAUAUAUCUACCCAACACUGGGGCACCCAGAUAUAUAAAGGAGAUAUUAUUAGAACUAAAGAGAGAGAGAUUUCAAUACAAUAAUAGCUAGAGAUUUCAGUAUCCCACUUGCAGCACUGGACAGAUCAUCCAGACAGAAAGUCAACAAAGAAACAUUGGACUUAAUCUGCUCUGUAGACCAAAUGCACCUGACAGAUAUUUACAGAAGACUUCAUUCGGCUGCUGCAGAAUACACAUUCUUCUCCUCAACAUAGGGAUCAUUCUCAAGGAUAGACCGUAUGUUGGAUCACAAAACAAGCCUUAAAAAAAAUUUUUUUUAAUUGAAUUAUAUCAGAUAUUUUCUCUGACCACAUUGAAAUAAAACUAGAAAUUAUAACAAGAGGAACUUUGGAAACUCUACAAACACAUGGAAAUUAGUAUGCUCCUGAAUGACCAGUGGGCCAAGGAAGAAAUUAAGGAAAUUUAAAAUUUUUCUUGAAACAAAUGAUAUGGAAACAACAUAUCAAAACCAAUGUGAUACAAUGAAAGCAGUACUAAGAAAGUUUACAGCAAUAAGGACCUACAUCAAAGGGAAAAACAUCAAAUAACCAGAUGAUUCAUCUUAAAGGCUAGGAAAACAAGAGCAAACCAAAUUCCAAAUUAGCAGAAGAAAACAAAGAAUAAAAGAGCAGAAAUAGCUUAAAUUGAAACAGACCAAAAAAACACAAAAGAUCAAUGAAACAAAAAUUUGUUUUUUCGAAAAAAAUAAAAUAGACAAACCUUUAGCCAGACUAAGAAAAAAAAAGAUCCAAAUAAAUAAAAUCAAAUGAGAAAGGAGACACAACUAAGACCAGUAAAUGCAAAGGAUCAUUAAUUACUACUAUAAGCAACUACGUAUUUAUUUCCAAUAAAUUGGAAAACCUAGAAGAAAUGGAUAAAUUCUUAGACACAUACAACCUACCAAAAUGCAACCAUGAACAAAUCUGAAACCUGAACAGGCCAAUAACAAUAAUGAGAUUGAAGGUGUAAUAAUAAGUCUCCUACCACUUCUUGGCCUUUGGCUAAGAUCCUAGCAAAGAAAAGCCCAGGACCCAUUGACUUCACUGCUGAAUUUUACUAAGCAUUUAAAGAACCAAUACCAGUCUUAUUCAAUCUAUUGAAAAAAAAUAGAGGAGGGAGGAAAAUUUCCAAUAUCAUUCUACGAGGCCUGUAUUAUCUUGUUACCAAAACCAGACAAAGACACAUCAAAAAAAGAAACUGCAGCCUAGUAUCCCUGAUAACAAAAAUCCUCAACAAAAAUACUAGCAUACUGAAUUCAGUAACACAUUAACAAGAUUAUUCAUCCAUGACCAAGUGGGAUUUAUCUGUGGGAUAUAAGGAUGAUUCAACACAUGCAAUAUGUCAAUCAAUAUGAUACCUCAUACCAACAGAAUUAAGGACAAAAAUCAUAUGAUCAUUUCAAUUGAUGCUGAAAAGUGUUUAAUGAAAUUCAGCAUCCCUUCAUGACAAAAAAUAAAAACCUCAGAAAAACUGGGUAUAGGGGGAACAUUAACACAAUAAAAGCCUUAUAUAACAGACCCACAGCUAGUAUCAUACCAAACGGGAAAACUGGAAGCCUUUCCUCUAACAUCUGGAACAGGACAAGGAUACCCACUUUCACCACUAUUAUUCAAAAUAGUACUGGAAGUCCUAGCUAGAGCAGACAAGAGAAAUAAAUAAAGUGCAUCUAGAUUGAAAAGGAAGUCAAAUUAUUCUUGUUUGCAGGUGAUAUCUUUUUUUUUUUUGGAGACAGAGUCUCACUUUGUUGCCCAGGCUGGAGGGUUCAGGCAGUUCUGCCUCAGCCUCCCAAGUAGCUAGGGUUACAGGCAUGCGCCACAAAGCCUGGUUAAUUUUUGUUUUUUUUGUUUUUAGUAGAAAUGGGGCUUCACCAUGUUGUCCAGGCUAGUCUUGAACUACUGACUUCAAAUGAUCCAUCUGCCUCAGCCUCCCAAAUGCUGGGAUUACAGGUGUGAGCCACCACACCUAGCUGGUGAUAUCAUCUUAUUUUUUUUUAGAGACAGGAUCUUGCUCUGUCAUCCAGGCUGGAGUGCAAUGGUGGAUUCACAGCUCACUACAGCCUUGACCUCUUGAGCUCAAGUAGUCUUCCACCUCAGCCUCUCAAGUAGUUAGGACUACAGGCAUGCACCACCAUACCAGGUGACUUUUCUGUUUUAAUAGAGAUGUGCUACCAUUCCUGGCUAACUUAAAAAUCUUUUUGGAGAAACAGGAUCUCACUAUGUUGCCCAGGCUGGUCUCAAACUCCUGGCCUCAAGCAGUCUUCCUGCCUCAGCCUCCCACAAUGCUGGGAUUACAGUUGUGAGCUGUCUGACACAGAUAAUAGGAUCUUACAUUUGGAAAAACCUAAAGACCCCCACCAAAAAACUAUUAGAACUGAUAAAUCCAAGAAAGUUACAGUAUAUGAAAUCAACGUAUGAAAAUCAAUAACAUUUCUAUAUACCAACAGUGAACAAUCUGAAAAAUCAAGACAGUAAACCCAUUUAUAAUAGCUACAAAUAAAAUACUCAGGAACAAAUUAACCAAAGAAAUGAAAGAUGGCCAAGUGCAGUGGCUCAUUCCUAUAAUCCUAGCAUUUUGGGAGUCCAAGGUGAGUGGAUUUCUUGAGGCCAGGAGUUCAAGACCAGCUUGGGCUACAUGGCGAAACCCAUCUAUACAAAAAAAUACAAAAAUUAGCCAGUUGUGGUGGUGUGCACCUGUGGUCCCAGCUACUCAGGAAGCUGAAGUCAGAGGAUCACCUGAGCCCAGGAGGUCAAGGCCAUGGUCAUGCCACUGCACUCCAGCCUGAGUGACAGAGUGAGACCUUGCCUCAGAGAAAAAAAAAGAAAUGAAUGAUCCCUACAGUGAAAACUAUAAAACAUUGAUGCAAUAAAUUGAAGUGGACACACAAAAAUUGGAUAUUCUAUGUUAAUGGAUUGGAAGAAUUAAUAUUGUUAAAAUGUCCAUACUACCCAAAGCAUUCUACAGAUUCAGUGCAAUCCCUAUUAAGGUACCAAUGACAUGCCUCACAGAAAUAGAAAAAAUAAUCCUAAAGUUUAUAUGGAACCACAAAAGACCCAGAAUAGGUAAAGCCAUCUUAAGCAAAAAGAACAAAACUGGAGGAAUCACAUUACAUAACUUCAAAUUAUACAACAGAGCUAUAGUAAUCAAAACAGCAUAAUACUUGCAUAAAAACAGACACAUAGACUAAUGGAACAGAAUAGAGAACCCAGAAGUAAAUCCAGUCAUCUACAGUGAACUCAUUUUUUACAAAGGUGCCAAGAACAUACAUAGGGGAAAGGACAGUCUCUUCAAUAAAUAGUGCCAGGAAAACUGGAUAUUCAUAUGUAGAAGAAUGAAGCUAGACUCCUAUCUCUCACCAUAUACAAAAAUCAAUACAAAAUGAAUUAAAGACCUGAAGACCUCAAACCAUGAAACUACUAAAAGAGCAACUUUGGGGAAACUCUCCAGGAAAUUGGUCUGGGCAAAGAUUUCUUGAGUAAUACCCCCAAAGCACAGGCAACCAAGGCAGAAAUGGACAAAUGAGAUCAUAUCAAGUUAAAAAGCUUCUGUACAGUGAAGGAAAUAAUCAAGAAAGUGAAGGGACAACCCACAGGAUGGGAGAAGAUAUUUGCAAAUUAUCCAUCUGAUGAGACAUUAAUAACCAGCAUGUAUGAGGAGCUCAAACAACUCUAUAGAAAAAAAAUCUGGCCAGGCGCGGUGGCUCAAGCCUGUAAUCCCAGCACUUUGGGAGGCCGAGGCAGGUGGAUCACAAGGUCAAGAGAUCGAGACCAUCCUGGUCAACAUGGUGAAACCCCGUCUCUACUAAAAAUAUAAAAAAAAAAUUAGCUGGGCAUGGUGGCGCAUGCCUGUAGUCCCAGCUACUCGGGAGGCCGAGGCAGGAGAAUUGCCUGAACCCAGGAGGCGGAGGUUAGGGUGAGCUGAAAUCGUGCCAUUGCACUCCAGCCAGCCUGGGUAACAAGAGCGAAACUCCGUCGAAAAAAAAAGAAAAAAAAUCUAAUCCAAUUAAAAAAUGGACAGAAAUAGAAAAAAAUUCUAAAAUGUAUAAGAUCUGAAUAGACAUUUCUCAAAAGAAGACAUACAAAUGACAGAUAUAUGAAAAGGUGCCCAACAUCACUGAUCAUCAGAGAAAUGCACAUCAAAACUGCAAUGAGAUAUCUCACCCCAGUUAAAAUGGCUUCUAUUCAAACGGCAGGCAAUAAUGGAUGCAAGGUAGUAUGUGAAGAAAAGAGAACCCUUGUACACUAUUGGUGGGAAUGUAAAUUAGUGAAGCCACUGAGGAGAAUAGUGUGGAAGUACCUCACAAACCUAAAAAUAGAACUACCACGUGAUCCAGCAAUCCUGCUAGGUAUAUACGCAAAAGAAAGGAAAUCAGUAUAUCAAAGAGAUACCUGCACUCCCAUGUUUAUUGCACUAUUCACAAUGGCCAAGAUUUGGAAGCAGCAUAAGUAUCCAUGAAUGGAUGAAUGGAUGAAGAAAAUGUGGCGCAUGUGUACAAUGGAGUACUGUUCAGCCACAAAAAAGAAGCAAAGGCAACUGGAAAAAGCCUAUUUUUUUUUCCAAGAAAUUGUGCUGGAACAACUGGAUAUCCACAUAGAAAAUAAUGUAUUUAGACAUCCUUUGCCUUUUAUGAAAGUUAAAAACACAGACCUAAAAGCAACAUGCGAAACCAAAACUCCUAUAAAAUAAUAGAAAGUUUAAGUGAAUUUGGGUUGUACAAUGACUUCUUUUUAAAUUUUAUUUUACUUCUUUUUUUAGAGAUGGAGGUCUCUGUUGCCCAGGCUGGAGUGCAGUGCUGCAAUCAUAGCUGACUGUAACCUUGAAUUCUUGGGCUCAAGCAAUCCUCCUGCCUCAGCCUCCCAAGUAUCAAAGACUAUAGGUGUGCACCACCACACCCAGCUAAUUUUAAAAAGCUUUUAAUAGAGAUAGGGUCUCCCUAUGUUGCUCAGGCUGGUCUUGAACUCAUGGCCUCAAGCAAUCCUCCACCCUCAACCUCCCAAAGUGCUGAGAUUAUAGGCAUGAGCCACCAUGCCCAGCCUGACUUUUUAGAUACAAUACCAAAAGCGUGAUCAUGAAAGGAAAAAACUGUUAAGUUGAACUUCAUUAAAAUUAGGAACUUCUGCUCUGCAAAAGAUAAUAGUAAGAGAAUGAAAAGUUAUGGACUAGAAAAUAAUAUUUGCAAAGCACAUAUCUGAUAAAGGACUGGUAUCAAAAACAUGCACAAAAAAAAACCUCUUAAAUCUCAACAGUGAGAAAACAACCCAAUUAAAAAAACGGGCAAAAGAUCUAGGCAGACACCUCUUUAGAGAAGACCUAUACAGCUGACAAAUAAGCAUAUGAAAAGAUGCUUAACCUCUUAUGUCAUUGGGGAAUAGCACAUUAAAACAGUGAGAUUUGGGUGUGGUGGCUCACACCUGUAAUCCCAGCACUUUGGAAGGCCAAGGUGGGUGGAUCACUUCAGCCCAGGAGUUCCAGACCAGCCUGGCCAGUAUGGCAAAACCCCAUCUCUACUAAAAAAAAAAAAAAAAAAAAAAAUUAGCUGGGUGUGGUGGUGCAUGCCAGUAGUCCCAGCUACUUGAGAGGCUGAGGCAUGAGAAUUGUUUGAACCUGGGAGGCAGAGGUUGUAGUGAGCCAAGAUCACACCACUUCACGCUAGCCUAGGUGACAGAGCACGACUCUGUCUCAAAAAACCCAUAAAUAGAAAAAACAGUGAGCUACCACUACACCCAUUAGAGUGGCUAAAAUCCCAAACAUGGACAAUAUGAAAUGCUAGUGAGGAUGUGGAAUGACGGGGACUCUGAUUCAGCGCUGGUGGGAAUGCAAAAUGGUAUCGCUACUUUGGAAAACAACUUGGCGCUCUUACAAAGCUUACGUAGUCUUACUGUCUAUCUAAUAGUCAUGUUCCCAGAUAGUUACUCAAAUGAGCUGAAAACAUGUCAACACAAAAACCUGCACAUGAAUGUUUAUAGUAGCUUUAUUGAUAAAUUGCCAAAACUUGGAGCAAACUAAAAUGUCUUUCAAUCAGUAGGUGGAUAAACAAACUGUGGUACAUCCCUACAAUAGGGUAUGAUUAAGAGAUUAAAAAGAAAGAAGCUGGCCAAGUGUGGUGGCCCACACCUGUGAUCCCAGCACUUUGGGAGGCCGGGGCAGGGGGAUCACAAGGUCAGGAGUUCAAGACUAGCCUGGCCAACAUAGUGAAACCCUGUCCCUACUAAAAAUACAAAAAUUAGCCAGGCGUGGUGGCGCACGCCUGUAAUCCCAGUUACUCAGGAGGCUGAGGCAGAAGACUUGCUUGAACCUGGGAGGUGGAGGUUGCAGUGAGCCAUGAUCACACCACUGCACUUCAACCUGGGCAACAAGACAGGGUGAGACUCCAUCUCAAAAAAAAAGAAAGAAAAGAAAGAAGCUAUCAAGACACGCAAAGAUAUGAAGGAACCUUAAAUGAACAUUGCUAAGUGAAAGAAGCCAGUCUGAAGAGGCUACAUACUACAUGAUUCCAACUCUGUGACAUUCUGGCAAAGGCCACACUAUAGAGACAGUUAAAAAUAGUGGUUGCCAGAGGUUCCAGAGAGGAAAAAGGAAAGGGAAAGAGAUGAGCAGGUAGUGCACAGGGAAUUUUUAGAGCAGUGAAACUGCUCUGUGUGAUGCCAUGACAGUAGAUACAUGUCAUUAUACAUUUGUCAAAACACAUAAGAUGCACAGCACAGAGUGAAGCCUAAUGUAAAUUAUGGGCUUCAGUUAAUAAUGUCUCAAUAGUAGUUCAUCAGUUCUAACAAAUGUACCGCGCUAACACGAGGGAAAUCUGGGGGAAACUGUGAGGGGAGGGAGGAGAUAUAUGGGAACUCCAUAUUUUUUGCUCGAUUUUUUCUAUAAACUUAAACCUGCUCUUAAAACCAAUGCCUAUUAAUUGUUAAAAAAUAUAAUACCAAUAAUUGGCAAGGAAGUAGGGAAACUGAAAUCCUCAUAUAUUGCUGGUGGGAAUGUAAAAUUGUACAACCAUGUUAGAAAACAGAUUAACAGUUUCUUUUCUUUUCCUUUUUUUUUUUUUGAAUCAAGGUCUUUCUCUGUCACUCAGGCUGAAGUGCAGUGGCAUGAUUACAGCUCACUGCAGCCUCAACCACCUGGACCCAAGCGAUCCUCCUACCUCAGCCUCCUGACUAGCUGGGACCACAGGUGUGCACUACCAUGCCCAGCUAAAUUAAAAAUUUUUAGUAUAGACAGGGUCUCCCUAUGCUGCCCAGGCUGGUCUCGAACGCCUUGGUUGAAAUGAUCCUACCACCUCAGCCUCCCAAAGUGCUGGGAUUACCAGCACUAGCAUGCUGGCAUGAGCCACUGCACCCAGCUGGCAGUUUCUUAAAAGCUAAAAAUAAGGUUAUCAUUUGACCCAACAGUUCAACUCCCAGGACUCUACUAAAACAAAUGAAAACAAAUCCACACAAAGACUUCCGCAUGAACGUUCUAAACAGCAUUAUUGAUGACAGCAAAAUCUAGAAACAACCCAAACGUCCAUCAGCUGAUGAAUGGAUAAACAAAGGCGGCAUUUCCAUGCAAUGGAUCUACUCAGUAAUAAAAGGAGUGAGGCACUGACACGUGCUACCGCAUGAUGAACCUCAGAAACUGUGCUAAGGAGAAGCAGCCAGACCCGGAGACUGCAUGGUGUACAACCCUCCUUAUAUGAAGUCGUUCAUACUGACAGAAAGCAAUUCAAUGGAUUACCCAGAGCAGGAGGUGGGAGCAGGGAUUAACCACAAAACAGUCUCCAGGAAAUUCUGGGGGGUGAUGUAAAACUAGAUGGUGGUGAUGGUUGCACAACUCUAAAUUCAUUUAAAAUCA